rnacentral:rRNA from 1 species
CGCCUCUUGAAUAACUAUAAGAGGUCCAGCCUGCCCAGUGACAAUGUUCAACGGCCGCGGUAUCCUAACCGUGCGAAGGUAGCGUAAUCACUUGUUCUUUAAAUGUGGACUAGUAUGAAUGGCACCACGAAGGUUAUACUGUCUCCUUUUUCCAAUCAGUGAAACUAAUCUCCCCGUGAAGAAGCGGGGAUAAAACUAUAAGACGAGAAGACCCUAUGGAGCUUUAAACAACAUAGCAUUUGCCCUACAACAUAAAAAUUCCUGAAAACUUUAAUUUAAGCAGGCAAUAUGACUAUAAGUUUUUGGUUGGGGUGACCACGGAGCAUAACACAACCUCCAUGUUGAAAGAAUCUUUYUAAGCUAAGACUUACUGGUCUAAGCAUCAUUAUAAUGACAUCCAUUGACCCAAUAUAUUUGAUCAACGAACCAAGUUACCCUAGGGAUAACAGCGCAAUCCACUUCAAGAGCUCCUAUCGACAAGUGGGUUUACGACCUCGAUGUUGGAUCAGGGUAUCCCAGUGGUGCAGCCGCUACUAAAGGUUCGUUUGUUCAACGAUUAAAAC